rnacentral:rRNA from 1 species
CCUACGGGAGGCAGCAGUGAGGAAUAUUGGUCAAUGGGCGAGAGCCUGAACCAGCCAAGUCGCGUGAGGGAAGACGGUCCUAUGGAUUGUAAACCUCUUUUGCCGGGGAGCAAAAAGCGGUACGCGUACCGCAUCGAGAGUACCCGGAGAAAAAGCAUCGGCUAACUCCGUGCCAGCAGCCGCGGUAAUACGGAGGAUGCGAGCGUUAUCCGGAUUUAUUGGGUUUAAAGGGUGCGCAGGCGGCGUGUUAAGUCAGCGGUAAAAUUUCGGGGCUCAACCCCGACGAGCCGUUGAAACUGGCGUGCUAGAGUGGGCGAGAAGUAGGCGGAAUUCGUGGUGUAGCGGUGAAAUGCAUAGAUAUCACGCAGAACUCCGAUUGCGAAGGCAGCAUACCGGCGCCCAACUGACGCUCAGGCACGAAAGCGUGGGUAUCGAACAGGAUUAGAUACCCUUGUAGUC